GGUCGAAAGAGGAAAUUCAUUCGCGUUUCGAUCGUUGAAGUUGAACGUUUGUAUGACGGAUGAUGUGCUUCGGCGCAUGUGUUUGCAUCUUACGUUCUUCGAAUCGACGUCGAACGCGUGCACUUUUCCUCUAGUAGGACGUCGUGAUCCGUUGGGCGUCUGUCUAAGACUCGGGGUGGAGACCACGUGAUUUUUCGAUUUUAUGUGGACCCUCGAUGUUCCGACAGACUCGCUCGACGGUAUAAAUAUGGCGCGGGGCCGCUACAUUAGUUAGCGUUCGGCCCGUAGCAAGCACGUUUCGUGUUUGACGGCGAUCGGACCUAGUGCCGAUUCUGUCCCGGAACGACUGUUGGUUACGGUGUUCUCGAACAGACCUCG
rnacentral:rRNA from 1 species